rnacentral:rRNA from 1 species
GAUGAACGCUGGCGGCGUGCUUAACACAUGCAAGUCGAACGGAAAGGCCCAAGCUUGCUUGGGUACUCGAGUGGCGAACGGGUGAGUAACACGUGGGUGAUCUGCCCUGCACUUCGGGAUAAGCCUGGGAAACUGGGUCUAAUACCGGAUAGGACGAUGGUUUGGAUGCCAUUGUGGAAAGUUUUUUCGGUGUGGGAUGAGCUCGCGGCCUAUCAGCUUGUUGGUGGGGUAAUGGCCUACCAAGGCGUCGACGGGUAGCCGGCCUGAGAGGGUGUACGGCCACAUUGAGCCGGAGAUACGGCCCAGACUCCUACGGGAGGCAGCAGUGGGGAAUAUUGCACAAUGGGAGAGAGCCUGAUGCAGCGACGCCGCGUGGGGGAUGACGGCCUUCGGGUUGUAAACCCCUUUCGCUAGGGACGAAGCGUUUUUGUGACGGUACCUGGAGAAGAAGCACCGGCUAACUACGUG